UACGUAGGGUGCAAGCGUUUGUCCGGAAUCAUUGGGCGUAAAGAGCGUGUAGGCGGCCAGAAAAGUCCGCUGUGAAAACUCGAGGCUCAACUUCGAGCUGUCGGUGGAAACUUUCUGGCUAGAGUCCGGAAGAGGAGAAUGGAAUUCCUGGUGUAGCGGUGAAAUGCGCAGAUAUCAGGAAGAACACCCCGUGGCGAAGGCGGUUCUCUGGGACGGUACUGACGCUGAGACGCGAAAGCGUGGGGAGCGAACAGG
rnacentral:rRNA from 1 species